UUGACAGCAUUAAAGGCUGAAGUCUUGUGGAUUAUCCUCACAACAGUAAAAGCCCCGGCAGCAGCACUGCAAGUUUCUGUCUGCCAAUGUGCCACCUCCCUGCAUGAGAGGGUAUUUCAGUCUCUGUACCCAUUUAAUCCUUGGCCUCU
rnacentral:sRNA from 1 species